UGUUUUCUGUAGUGUAGUGGUUAUCACCAUUCGCUUUACACGCGAAAGGUCCCUGGUUCGUAACCGGGCAGAACAA
rnacentral:tRNA from 1 species